UACGUAGGGAGCAAGCGUUGUCCGGAAUCAUUGGCCGUAAAGGGCGCGUAGGCGGCCUGUUAAGUCAAGUGUGAAAAUCAACGGCUCAACCGUUGAACUGCGCUUGAAACUGGCGGGCUAGAGAUCAGGAGAGGAAAGUGGAAGUCCUAGUGUAGCGGUGAAAUGCGUAGAUAUUAGGAAGAACAUCUAUGGCGAAGGCAGCUUUCUGGCCUGACACUGACGCUGAGGCGCGAAAGCGUGGGGAGCAAACAGG
rnacentral:rRNA from 1 species